GUUUCAGACUGUGAGGAAGCCCAGUGAAACCAAGACCCCAGCUGGCAGGCACAGCUCAGCUUCUAGCUACUAAAAGGGCCAUAUCCUGCCAUACAAGUGAGUGAUCAUGGAGGAGACUCCUUUAGCCCCAGCGACCCACCUCGCUGAUACUGCCAAGAACAGAGUUCAUCCAGCCCAAUUCCUGCCCAAGUCAUGGACUUUUCACUCUUCCAGUGAGCACAGUCCACCUGGCCUCAGAGGAAAGCUCUCUUCAACCUCUAAACAAUAGGAAGAAAGGCUGCUUCCUUCCCAGCCUCCAGCCCGGCCCAAGGCUCCUCAUCCACCUGCCCUGCUUCCUAUCACCCAGGGCAGCGCCCCCAGCCAUUCAAGCAGGUGUUCAACUUGCCUUCUGAGAAAGACUUGCCUUUGCUCUAGCUCAUGCAGCUAGAGGCUGGUGGGUCUGAGAACAAUUAUCUCUAGCAUUGACCACACACCAGCAGUCUGGGGCCUGAGCUGAUUAAUCAUAUUCCUGAUGAUCCUCUUCCUGAGUUGAAAUCAGAUCAUCAAGGCUCUCAGACCUACCAUUAAGGGAGAUACCAGAAGGCAGGAAACCUUGAAGCCAGAGAGGAGUCAGCACCGGUCCAUGUGAAAUGUCGGCAUGUACAUCUGGAGGGCUGAGAUCCACGUCAAAUCGUAGGCUAGUCUUGGAACACCAGAAAGAAGCUUUCAAGCAAGGUUCACUAGGGCUGAGUUUGUUUGGAAGGGCCAAGUACGGGGAACUUUAGCAUCUAAGUACCUAAGUUUGCAUCUCAUACCGGGUGCUUUUUAGUUGUGAAAUUUAUGCAACCUCCCGGGGGCUGUUUCUUCUUUAAAGUGGGGUUAAUAGGGAACUGGGUGUGCUGACUCACAUUGGUAAUCCCAGCUACUCAGGAGGCAAAGAUCAGGAAGAUGGAGGAUCAGAGCCAGCUGGGAGAAAGUGUUAGCAAGACCUUACCUCAACCAACAAGCUGGGUGGCUUGCACCUGGGUUUGCAGUUGCAGCAGAAAUAUAAUAGGAGGAUCAUGGUCCAGGCUAGCCCUAUCAGAAACAUAGAGCCUAUCUCAAAAAUAACCCAAGCGUGGCUCAUGUGCUUGGUAAGCAUGAAGUCCUGAGUUCAAACCUCAGUACCUCCAAGAAGUAGGAAUAAUAUGAAAAUCAACAUAAGAAUCAGAUAUCUAGGUGCUCUUAUGACUGCUGGUUGGCUUCGAAGCUAGAAGGGAAGAGAGCAGGUGGGACACAAAAAGGAGUAUUGCUGGUAGAAGUAACAUGGGCAGGGGGCCGGGGGCCGGGAACCCAUGGCUCAUGCCUGUAAUCCUAACUACU